rnacentral:misc_RNA from 1 species
AAGACUAUAGACCUGCGGAGUACCUGCGGAAGGAUCAUUAUCAAUUUACAGCGGACUUCGGUCCUGUCUGCACCCUUGUCUUUUGCGUACUAUAUGUUUCCUCGGUGGGCUUGCCUGCCGAUAGGACACUUAUAAACUCUUUUGUAAUUGCAAUCAGCGUCAGAAAACUAUAAUAGUUACAACUUUUAACAAUGGAUCUCU